AAUGCUUAUUACUUAACCAAUUAAUUAUAAUCUGGUUAAUCCAAUUUAUUCUCAAAUAUAAAUAAGUAAAUAUUUAAACCAAUAAACCAUAUAACACUCAGUCCACUCAGAGAGUGACUUAACCCCACAACGCCACAUAAAAACAAGUGGCCCAAUAAACAUUGCAAGCCUUUAAUAAAAACCAUUAUCAAUUAUGUUCUGCAAAUCUGAAAUGAAUAUAUCACAUCCAAUAUCAGAAAGCUGAUCAUCCUUUUCUUGGUAAAGUCCUCUAACGAAUCCUUCUAAUUCAACAUGUCUGUAAUUGCCAUGACCAAUUUCCUUCAAAUAAAUCUCCAUUUUUUUAUUAAUUCUUUUCCUAAUUGUUUCCAGAAAGGAUAACUCAGAAUUGAACCAAGAAAAUUUUGGGAUGAUGUCAGAAAAUACGAGUACAACACCAUCAAAUAACGCAUUUUCAACUAGAAUGCAACCUGGACCCACAAAUUCAGGUUCUCAAACUGGCAGUUAAAGUGAUCUCCAAUCAAAUUUGAAGAUAUCAGCGCAAGCACCCACAGCAUCUGGGUUAACCCAUUCUUCACAUAGGUAAGUAAAUAAUAUAAUCAACAUAUUAACUGUAAUGUUAGGUGCCAUGUCAUCAUGGCUCACCACACUGAAUUUAUCAGUAUGGUUCGC